AAUGAAAUGGCUGAUAAAAGUGAUAAAUUGUAAAUUUAUUAAUGAUAUUUUAUAUCUUUCAUUA
rnacentral:tRNA from 2 species